GUGGUACUUCCUCCGUCCGAAAAUACUUGUCAUCAAAAUGAAUAAAAAAGGAUGUAUCUAGAACUAAAUACGUCUAGAUACAUUCCCUUUUGUUCAUUUUGAUGACAAGUAUUUCCGGACGGAGGGAGUAUGAG
rnacentral:pre_miRNA from 1 species